rnacentral:rRNA from 1 species
GACGAACGCUGGCGGCGUGCUUAACGCAUGCAAGUCGAACGGUGAAGCGAGUGCUUGCACUCGUGGAUCAGUGGCGAACGGGUGAGUAACACGUGAGUAACCUGCCCAUCACUCUGGGAUAAGCACUGGAAACGGUGUCUAAUACUGGAUACGACCAACCCUUGCAUGGGGUGUUGGUGGAAAGAUUUAUCGGUGAUGGAUGGACUCGCGGCCUAUCAGCUUGUUGGCGGGGUAGUGGCCCACCAAGGCGACGACGGGUAGCCGGCCUGAGAGGGUGACCGGCCACACUGGGACUGAGACACGGCCCAGACUCCUACGGGAGGCAGCAGUGGGGAAUAUUGCACAAUGGGCGAAAGCCUGAUGCAGCGACGCCGCGUGAGGGAUGACGGCCUUCGGGUUGUAAACCGCUUUCAGCAGGGAAGAAGCGAAAGUGACGGUACCUGCAGAAGAAGCACCGGCUAACUACGUG